AACAAAGAAAUACAAUAGAAUCAAUGAAAAACUACACACAAACACUGGCAAACAACCAUGGGCAAAAGAAGAAAAGCUCUGCAAAUACUAAUGUCACUGUCUAGUCCGUGUCGGGACUGAGUGAAGUGGGGGUUGAGUGAGUGUUGGAGUGCGACACGUCACGGACAAUGGAGCUUGCCCAAGUCUUCAGGGAGAACCGUCACCCCGACACAAGGACUGGAUCGGACAAUGGGUAUCGACUCUGGACUAACUGGUAAUUUAUGGAUAUGGUGAGCACUGCAAUCAAAAGAUUUCUGCGGCAGGUGGAGGGAUUUGUACUCUUUUGCGAUGAUCCUUGGUCAAGGUCAGUUCCAGGGAAAACUGGCCCAGCUUCUCCAGUCUCUCAAUCCUAGGCAACAUUCCGGAUUUGUCUAACACGAGACUCACCAGAGUCUGUGAACAUCAUAAUUGAUUUGAAUGAUCAUAUUACUACUAGACAGAGGAAGAGGAUUUGCACAAUGCUGAAAGCUAAGACCAUAAGCACACAAUCAUUGCGUCUGAACUCAACAGUGAUUUAAGCUACAUGGUCUGUGUUGUACCUCUGCCCUACUACAGCUGGAUAUUGAGACACAGAAGUAAACUGGAUCAAUCAGUCAGAACAUACUCCGAGUGCAAGUUUAAUUCUAUUCGUCUAAUACAAGAAUGAGGGAAGCAACCAAAAAAAUGUUGCAAAGAAUUUGCUAGCAGCAUAUGGUUUACCAGUGCUGUGUGGAACAUUGUUGGGUCACAGUAUGAAGACGUCUUCCUCAGUUGCCAACAGCAGAAGGUGUGACGAGCCAUCGACAUUGUUAUGUUGUUUGGCACCCUUGAACUCCAUGUCAUAAGAGUGGGCACCUAGUAAAAGUGCCAAUGUAGUGAGCGGGUUACAGACAUCACUGGAAUUCCCUUCCUGGCAUCGAAAAUGGACACAAGGGGCUGGUGGUCUGUCACUAGCAUAAAAUUUUGUCCAUAGAGGCAUACUCAGUAAAUCCAGGAGCUAUAAUAGGAUCAAUGAAGGACUCCACUCAACAGGUCGGACAACAAUCAAUGUGCAAAAGACAAUAAAUAUCGAGAACAUGAGAUGGAGAAUCCUUCAAAAUGAGUCCAGAGGUUGUAGGAAUAGUUCAGUGAUGGGGCAAGUGAGGUUGUCGUUAUCACCACUGGUUCAAGAGCCUGAUGGUUGAGGGGUAAUAACUGUCCCUGAACCUGGUUGUGUAGGUUCUGAGGCUCCUGUACCUCCUUCCUGAUGGCCACAGCAAGACAAGAGCAUGGCCUGUGUGGUGGGGGUCCCUGAUGAUGGAUGCUGCUUUCCUGUGGCAGCACUCUGUAGGUGUGCUCAAUAGUGGGGAGGGCUUUAACCGUGAUGGACUGGGCCAUAUCCACUACUUUUUGUAAGACUUUCUGUUCGGGGCAUUGGUGUUUCCAUAACAGGCUGCGAUGCAACCAGUUAGUAUAGUGUCCACCACAAAUCUAAAGAAGUUAGUCAAAGGGCCACUUAGAACAAAAGCCAUUGUUAAUUUCAGAAUUCUUUAGGUUUCAUAAGUAGAAUGAAAAUGAAAGAGAGUCCAUGGCUGAAUUGAAGUAAUUGUCUGAACAUUGUCAGUUCAGUAAUGGUGUUAAUGAUACACUUAGAGAUGAGUUAGUUUGUGAAAUCUUAGAAGAAAGCAUUCAAAAACAGCUUACAUUCAUAUGAGCAGUGGACAUUGCUAUUUCAAUGGGAACCACAUACAGAGAUAGAAACA